rnacentral:rRNA from 1 species
GUUGACCUCGGAUCAGGUAGGGAUACCCGCUGAACUUAAGCAUAUCAAUAAAGCGGAGGAA